GAUGAACGCUGGCGGCGUGCCUAAUACAUGCAAGUCGAGCGAACAGACGAGGAGCUUGCUCCUCUGACGUUAGCGGCGGACGGGUGAGUAACACGUGGAUAACCUACCUAUAAGACUGGGAUAACUUCGGGAAACCGGAGCUAAUACCGGAUAAUAUAUUGAACCGCAUGGUUCAAUAGUGAAAGACGGUUUUGCUGUCACUUAUAGAUGGAUCCGCGCCGCAUUAGCUAGUUGGUAAGGUAACGGCUUACCAAGGCAACGAUGCGUAGCCGACCUGAGAGGGUGAUCGGCCACACUGGAACUGAGGAACGGUCCAGACUCCUACGGGAGGCAGCAGUAGGGAAUCUUCCGCGAUGGGCGAAAGCCUGACGGAGCAACGUCGCGUGAGUGAUGAAGGUCUUAGGAUCGGAAAACUCUGUUAUUAGGGAAGAAGAAAUGUGUAAGUAACUAUGCACGUCUUGACGGUACCUAAUCAGAAAGCCACGGCUAACUACGUG
rnacentral:rRNA from 1 species